AUUGAACGCUGGCGGCAGGCCUAACACAUGCAAGUCGAACGAGUGGCGGACGGGUGAGUAAUGUCUGGGAAACUGCCUGAUGGAGGGGGAUAACUACUGGAAACGGUAGCUAAUACCGCAUACCAUCAGAUGUGCCCAGAUGGGAUUAGCUAGUUGGUGGGGUAACGGCUCAACAAGGCGACGAUCCCUAGCUGGUCUGAGAGGAAGACCAGCCACACUUGGACUGAGCCAACGUCCAGGUCCCUUCGGGAGGGAGCCGUUGGGAAUCUUUGCCCAAGGGGGCAAGGCGGGUGCAGGCAUGGCGGGUGGAUGUAGAAGGCCUUCCGGGUUGUAAGUUCUUUCCAGCGGGGAGCGUUACCCGCCGAAGAAGGACCGGCUUACUCCGUUCCAACAGCCGCGGUAAUAC
rnacentral:rRNA from 1 species